AAGCUGAUAGGACUGUGAGAUGCAUAUCCCAUACAGGGACAUCACAUAUCUUUAAAUCUAGCCGGCGGGCCCGCCUCAAAGCACGAGUCAGCACUGGAAGAGAGGGACCUUCAGGGGAUCGGGACUCCGGACUACAGACUUGUUUUCAGGGUCUCCAUUGUUUUGUGCAGAGUAACAUCCCAGUCCUGAGAGCGGCUUCAUUACAUGAGAAAUCCGUCUCCAUCUCCAGGAUCACGCAGUCAUUAUAUGGGAUGAAAUUGUCACUUGCUCAGAAAUCUUUCCAUCAAGAAACGUUGGGAAGAAUAUGCUCUGACGCUUGAGACCACGGACUAAACAUGUCUUCCUCCCAAAUGUAUGUCGGCCAUGCUAACUCUUUUUCUGUUCUUUUCUUUCUACUUUCUCAAAUACCCCUUCUCACUUCUUUCUCCAUAUCCUUCUUUUUGUCCCUUUAUCUUCAACUCUUUUCUUUUGCUUUAUGUCACU